UAGCGUAAGCAUGGUGCUUGGGCUAGGAAUACUCGUAGAUACUCCUUGUUUGGCCGGAUUUGUGGUAGCUUUGGGGGAAGUGACAAUCCUCUUGGGUCUUUGUAAUUCACGUCCCGUCAAGAGGUAAGGUAGGGUAUAUGGUGCUAGGGUUAAGCACUCUCUGAGGUGUCUCUUUUCUCUAGGUACACCCCUUAGAAAAAUAUCUAAACACUUACCAUAGGUUAGAAGAAUAUUGAAGAAAGAGUUCUCUCUAUAUCGCUCAUAUCUCACUAUCUUGUCUUGCAACCCGUGGGUAGUAGGUAAGAUAAGGGUUAGUCUUUUGCACGCUUUCUCCUACUGGUAAAAAAUAAAUACGAUACUCUAGACUUAUCUCCCGGGUGAAGUGCUCAACAAUAUCCGUGCGCUUGCGGAUUAUUUCUUUAGAUUCUUUCAUGUGCGUAACUAGUAUCAAUAGUAAUAUAUAUACACUAUAUGUAUACAUAAAAUAAUGUGUGAUCAUAUAUACGUAUAAUCGUUUGUAAUUUAUAACUAUGUUGUACAAUGUCCGAACGAUAACUUAUGGGUGCGACAUAUCUAUUAAUAUUAGUAGUAUAUUUAAAUCAUAUUUUAAUAUCAAAACUAAUCAUCAAUUGAAAAAGAAAAUGAAAACAAAAAAAGAAAAAAAAAUCUUUACUCCCGGUUGCUACUACCAAUUUGUACUAAAUGGCCUGCACUGUGGACAGACCAGAAGGGCCUCGUAGUCCUAGUUGGUAUUAACAAUUGGGAGUAAAGGUGAUCUUUUAGUCCCGGGCGCCCAGGCGGGACUAAAGAUGCCCUCCUUUAGUCUAGGAUUGGUGCUCCCGGUUGGAAAACUGGGAGUAAAGGUGUUUCCCA
rnacentral:lncRNA from 1 species